GGAUGGAUCAUUCCUGUUUUUAAACACUCCAACUUUGAAGCUGUCUCUGAUAGUAACCUUAAUAAUUAAAUAUUGUUUCGAAUUAAAAACUCUUAGCGAUGGAUGACUCGACUCUCGUAACGAGGAAGGACGCAGCAAACCGCGAUAAGCAGUAUGACUUGCGAAUUCUCGUGAAUCACCAGAUUUCUGAACGCUAUUGUACUCCUGGCUUUAGUCUCGAGUAUACUUGGCUCGGUAUCGUAUAGAUUUCCUUAUUUUACUGACUUUGUUAUCAUAGUUAAGUAAGAGAAAGGGUUAAGAGCUCUCAUUGUAAGAUGUUAGCUGUCUAAUUGAUCUCUCCGAUGAAUUGAUUUCACAUACAGUGACGUAAAGUGAAUGUUAAUUUGUUAGGAAGGAUGAAUUCUGAUUUCUAUGAUUAGAGCGCAAAUAGGGUGGUAACCUCCAUCCACGGCUAAAUAUUGACGAGAGAUCGAUAGCAAACAAGUACCGUGAGGGAAAGUUGAAAAGGACUUCGAAAGGAGAGUUAAAAUACCUGAAAUCGCCAAGGGGGAAGCGACUGUCCGUGACCCAAGUGAAGUUGGUUGCAAAGGUUUCGAUCUUUGAUGACUGAUCAACAACUCGACAUCACUUCUCAACUGUUUGACACUUUUUGAACUUGUUUCUGUAAAGCUGUUCUUUCAGUGCAGGAGUGACGCGAACCGGCUUGCCGUAAGUUGUCGAGAGUGGCACGUAUAGACGACCCGUCUUGAAACACGGACCAAGGAGUUAAACAGGUGUGCAAGUGUAAGAGUGUUAAACUCAUACGCGCAGUGAAAGCGAAAGCUGUGAAUAUCAAUGCAACAGCGGCCGACUCUUGAAGUUCGAGCUUGAGCAUAUUUGUUUAGACCCGAAAGAUGGUGACCUAUACCUGAGUUGGGUGAAGCCAGGGGAAACCCUGGUGGAAGCUCGUAGCGAUACUGACGUGCAAAUCGUUCGUCAAACUUGGGCAUAGGGGCGAAAGACUAAUCGAACCAUCUAGUAGCUGGUUCCCUC
rnacentral:misc_RNA from 1 species